UACAAACUCUACCCAUUUAAAAUACUUAACCUAUCCUUCUUCUACAUUUUGACAAAACCCUAACACCCUCUUUCCCUUCCAGCCGCACACCACAGAAAACAUCUCACCCUCAUCUCUUCCACUUCACAAGACCUUGGCCCUUUCACCUGUUUUCCCCCUCUCUAAAUGAUCGGCCAGCCACCUCUAGGGCGGCGGCACACGACAACGUAUCGAAGAGAGAGAGAGAGAGAGCGAGAUGAGAGAGAGAAACGGCGGCGGCAGCAGCAGCGCUGCUCACGGCGGCGGCCGUACCGGUCGACAACAACAAUGGUGGUGUUCUGGCAGAAGUAGCGCCGCUCACGGCGGCGAUGGUCCGGUUAGUCUUGGUUCUCGAGCCUUAUUUGUUCUCGGUUCAGUUCCAGGUUCAGGAACGAUUCGGGUCAACGGUUUUCCGACAACUUAGGGAAGCCGCACCGGCGAUGGCGUCGGCAGUGGUGGUGCCCGGCUGGUUCAGUUCAGCCUUUCUAGGUUCCGGGUUUGGUCUCAGGCCUCGAGCUUCGGUUCCGGUCGACUCCAGUUAACCCCGAUCAACAUCAGUCUUGUUUGAGUCUCGGUUCAGGAUAACCGUUUCGUUCGUUCCCUUGGAUUUUGUUUUCCAUCUUUACUCGUGCGUUAUUAGAAGGAAUCUCCAUACGCAAACACUGUUAAUUAUUGAGAUGAUAUGCAAGACGAAACAAGAUUUAGGGUGG